rnacentral:rRNA from 1 species
AUGUUCAGUACCUUUCUUGUGAAGAGGUCGCAUGCAUCUUUGUCUUGUAGACCGUUGAGCAGCCGUAUGCAUUCUGGUUUCUUGCAACAAUGUUUAGCAAUAUCAUGUCGCCUUGUGGUGAUCACUAUGAUCAAAUUUGCAUUUUUCCUUCCAAGUAAACUCUGCACUAUCAUAUCCCAUUCAGCGGUAGAGGAUAGGUCAUCAAGAACAAUCAAGCACCUCUUUCCUUCUGAAAGCCUGGCCAACACUCGAGUCAACUCUGCAACUCCCAUCAAAGCAAGCUUUCCAUUGGUCACCAGCAAAGUCCAGGGCGUCUUCCCUUACAACUAG